rnacentral:rRNA from 1 species
UACGAAGGGGGCUAGCGUUGUUCGGAAUUACUGGGCGUAAAGGGCGCGUAGGCGGUGUGUCAAGUCAGGCGUGAAAGCCCCGGGCUCAACCUGGGAACCGCGCUUGAGACUGGCACGCUAGAGUUCGGGAGAGGAUGGUGGAAUUCCCAGUGUAGAGGUGAAAUUCGUAGAUAUUGGGAAGAACACCGAUGGCGAAGGCAGC